UACGUACGAGGCAAGCGUUAUUCGGAAUCACUGGGCUUAAAGCGCGUGUAGGCGGGUCGGCACGUCGGUCGCUGAAAGCCCCCGGCUCAACCGGGGAACGGGCGCCGAUACGACCGCCCUCGAGGAACGUAGGGGGACCUGGAACUUCCGGUGGAGCGGUGAAAUGCGUUGAGAUCGGAAGGAACGCCCGUGGCGAAAGCGAGGUCCUGGACGUUUACUGACGCUGAGACGCGAAAGCCAGGGGAGCGAACGGG
rnacentral:rRNA from 1 species